rnacentral:rRNA from 1 species
CGGCCGCAAGAUAAGAUUUCAAUGAGGGUCGUCAGAGACUAUGACGUUGAUAGGACGCAGGUGUAUAGGUGGAGACACCACAGCCGAGCGUUACUAAUUGCCCGUAAUUUCC